CACCACUCAGCUGCUGUCUCUCCUGGUGGCCGCAUCUUUUUCAGAGUGUCCUAGAAGUGGAAUCGUCCCAUCUGUAGAAUCUGGAGUCUCAUUCGUCUCGUGUGAUGCAUUUGAAAUUCACUCAUGCUCCUGGGAGGAUCCUUGGUUCUUUGCUUUUUAUUGCUGAAUCAUACUACAUUGAAGGAAGUUCUUUAUCCGUUCAGCAGUUGGAGGGUAGGAUUUGCAGCAAUUAUGACUAAAGCUGCCUUGCCUGAUUGCAUACAGGUUACGUGGAACACAAAUCCUCACGGUCUUAGAUAAAAUCCCAGGAGCAGAGUUGCUGAGUCAUAUGCCUCUCACCAUUGUGAUGCUGUCCACCAUGAAGCCCCUCCAGAGAACAAGUCCAUGGGCCACCUGAUCAUAUACUUCCAGCCUACAAAACUGAGGUGAGUGGGUUUGCUCUGCCAUGUGUACUCCUACCAUGAUGUGCUGCCUCACCACAGGCCCAACGCAAUGGGAUCAACCAAUCAUGGACCAGAACCUCCAGAACUAACCCCUCAUCCUUGGUGGAGGGACUUAAUCAACACGACGGAAGGAAAACUGACCUCUUCUACCCAAAGGGAGGACACGUGACCCCAGUUCAGUGCCCAAACAUAGAACCCCAAAGACACAGCUGGCAAGUUUGAGACCCUCGAGUGUGGGCAGCCACAUUGAGUUACCCGCCCUCCAGCCCUGAUGCCCCUCGCAGAUCUGAAAGACAACUGCAGUCUGGCGCCUCGAGACUCUUUUCCUGCUGGAACAGCAAGGCCAAGGCUCCUGAGCAGCAGACCCUGGGGUGUCAGUCAACCUGCCGACAGCAGACAUCAUGAGGCUAGACUCAGCCCCUGAAACCUGACACCCCCCCCACCUCUUCUGAGUGGCUUCAAUAAAAGGGUUCAGCACUUGCUCCCUCUUUCCACGGAUCCCUAAGGUCAGAGGAGCCGUCACAGGACCCAAAGAAAAAGGUAUCUCUGUCUCUUGUGCCCAGUUCCCCUGGAGUGACCCUGAGAGUUUUAGUUGUGAGAAACACGACACUCGAGGAACUGAGAAGGGUGCCACCAACCCUUUGGGAACCCCAGGAGUCAGCCAUAAGCAUCUCUCAGGACGGACUCUGCCCUUUCCACAAUGAGUCCCCAGUCAAAGAAUGGCUUUUGAGUCCAGAGUUAGUUUGUGUCGAGAGAGAGAAUGUGACCAUUUGGGAUUUGCCUUGGCUGGUGAGCCAUUGGCAAGAGUGGAAGUCCUGACGGAAGCAGGACAGGGUCCUGCAGAAAGGCCUCAGGUGUGAGGCUGGGUGGGACAGAAGCAGGACCAUGGGCCAAGCUGGUCGAGGGGAUCUUCGAGCCACGGACUGGUGUGGUGGCACACGCCUGUGA